rnacentral:lncRNA from 1 species
GUCUUUUUAAACUAUUAAAUAAACCGUCUCAUUUGGGAAUAAGGCUAUGCUGGCUUAUAAAAGUUAUGAUUUUCAAUCAUAGGGCUGUUCACGAUGCAGGGUUUUGACUGACUAAUAAGAGCGCCUCAUAAGAGUCAUUUGCCCGUGAAUUGAUACUAGUCGUCGUCUCGUUCAAUUUGUUUACGCGUGCAGCCCGCGAGGACGACACAACAGAAAGUCGUUUCUUGAGAUUAUUUGGCGGUCUUCUGCAUCACAUAGAAUUCAGACUGCGAACUUCCAUUCUCAACACAAGACGUUCCUGUCGCUCCAUCGUUCCUGUACUCCACCGCUCCACGUGAUUCCUACUGGAAAGCCAAGAUCUGUUACCGCAAGCUAAGCCCUCUGAACUCUGUCACUGUGUGCUUCACUUACCUCUCAUCACCACCUGGUUCACGCCAUUGUUUCUAUCAUUAAAGACCCUUGUUUGACCAGUUACCUC